rnacentral:rRNA from 1 species
GACGAACGCUGGCGGCGUGCUUAACACAUGCAAGUCGAACGGAAAGGCCCUGCUUGCCGGGUACUCGAGUGGCGAACGGGUGAGUAACACGUGGGUGAUCUGCCCUGCACUUCGGGAUAAGCCUGGGAAACUGGGUCUAAUACCGGAUAGGAGCCAUCUUUAGUGUGAUGGUUGGAAAGUUUUUUCGGUGUAGGAUGAGCUCGCGGCCUAUCAGCUUGUUGGUGGGGUAAUGGCCUACCAAGGCGGCGACGGGUAGCCGGCCUGGGAGGGUGGACGGCCACAUUGGGACUGAGAUACGGCCCAGACUCCUACGGGAGGCAGCAGUGGGGAAUAUUGCACAAUGGGCGCAAGCCUGAUGCAGCGACGCCGCGGGGGGGAUGACGGCCUUCGGGUUGUAAACUCCUUUCGCUAGGGACGAAGCUUUUUGUGACGGUACCUAGAUAAGAAGCACCGGCUAACUACGUG